UUCUUUCUCUCCUUUUAGGCUUCCUACCCUCCAUUUAGGUUUUCCUCCCUAUAGUCAUCAAUCCAAUCCAUUAUUUUUGUAACUCCUAUCUUUAACGUGUGGAAUUUUUUUCCUUCUUACACCCACCAGCUGCAACAUGGAAAAAAAAAAGUUCUUUUGCCUAAAAUGUGUUAUUGCUAUGAAAAGUGACUACGUAAAAGCGAGAUCUUCUUACUAAACAGAACAGUCCCUUUUUGCCUUAAGGGCUGUUUGAUUUGUUUGGAUAGCAGCAUACUACUUCUCUUGAUACUAGCAAUGGAGAACAGGUGCAGCUGAGGGAGCGAGCUCAGACCACUGGUUGGUCUUGCGACUCUUUAAUGGAGCCGUCUAUCAAAUGUCACUUGCUGACGCUGGUGCAGACCCACUGAAGGCUGUUGAAGGCUCCAUCACACGACACAGCACAGCCUGACCCCAAGCAUCUGCUGGAGCAGAUUAUGCAUCGCCUGAACUAGGAUACUGUAUCUAGCUGGACCCUCACCUGGACAAUCCCAGCUCCUUCCUCCUGUUGCUGUUGAAAGCCUGGUGGCUGCCAAGACUCUGCCAGGAAGGGGUCUCUGCUCCUCCAGGGAGCCAGCAUAGUGUGCAGCACCCAAAAGAGAAGCAAACCACUGUCUUUGUGUGCAAAGUGGGCUGCAGGUGCUGCGCACUGGCAUGCUUGGGCUCAGCAACCUCGGCUGCACUCCCACUUGAACUCCUACCUUCCUCCCCAGAGCCCAGAUUGACUCCUGAUGUUUGGCUUGCCUGCUUUUUUCUAGACCAUCCAUUUCUCUUCGUUUGUGAAACCACACAAUCACUUCUGUUUAUUUCUGAAGCCAUGCAAGAUUACACAUCAGGUGGCAGAACACACUUGUUCUCACAGUUGACACAGUCAUCAGAGUAUCAACGAUUGCAUUUGUGAUUGCUUGGUAAUGGUGGCAUCCAGUUUUCUUGCAUUUCUUCAGGCCACUAUAGCUACAUUUCAGAGAACCCUCAGGCAAGUGUUCCCGCCCCCUAGGAGUAAGCAAGGGAGGGAGGAAGCACAGUGAGUACCAGCAACAUGUGCUCCUUUCUAUGAACAUCCUCCUUGGGGAGAAGCUGUUCAGCACACAAGGCAAACUGAUUCCUAGGCUGUUUCCCACAGAAGAUUUCUUUCAGUUCUGGUCUGCUUUGUUUUACUGAACAGCCUGCCUAUGAAAUCCCGGCUGCACGGGAUACUAAUAUCGUUUUAAGGACUCUUACAAAGGGACAUAACAAAGCCUAGGUUCAGUCUACGCCAGGCAGGAAAGCUACAGCACUCUCACAUCCUCGUGCACGCUCACUGGGUCUGACGCUGCUUGCACCGGAGCAGGCACAGAGCUCAGGAAAGUCACACCAGGGACUUCCCAACACAGCGAGCUGCCGGAGCCUGCCCAUGGACAGAGAUCAAGGCCGUUUUUCUCAGCUUUGACCACACAAGACAUCUGCAGCCAGAGUGAUUCUGUAAGGCCUUGACCUGUCACCACUUGUUGCCAGAUAACAGCUUUCCUCUUCAUGCUCAACAAGCAAGGGGUACAGGCAAAUGAUCAAGCAGAAAUGGGUAUGAUACAGGAACGCAACAACUAAAAAUACAUUUGAUGUUCCUAGGUGGAAAGCAGCAACGCAGAGCCCAUCUUAGGCCUCAGCCAGCUUUAAGAAGAGCAUGCAGCAAAGAACUUCCUUUGCAACAUUUGCAUGUGUUCAUUAAUGAGCUUGCUGGGAAUGUAAUUUUCCAAAGAUUUCCCUUGUCAGAGCAGCCGCAUAGCACAACAUGGCUGCAGCAGCAAAGCCUACCAUUUCAUGAUGUAGAAGAGCUUUAGGACGUUUCAUGAAACAAUCAAGCGGAAGAGCCAAAGAGUGUAACAGAAUGCAUAUAAUUCCAGUUGUUUUGUGAAAAUAUUCAAAUGUUUAUUCUGAGUAAGAUAUAAACAUCUAAUCAGACUAACAAAUAUUCUCUCUCUUAACUCCAAUACAUUAUGUUCUUCUGACUAGCAUUGCUUGUCAAGUAACAUACUCUUUAGCAAUGCCAUACCAUACCUGGUUUUCUGUAACUCACAGAUGACAUGCAAAUAUCAAAGGCUGAGGAAAAAACCCAACUCAAAAUGCCAUCAACGGAAAGCUCAGUAUAGUUAAGUCUCCUGAGUUGGAAAAAGGCAAUCUUCCUCCAGAGAUGCCUUUUUAGAAGUAAGCCCUCAGCAUUUGCACUGAGUAAGGACAGUGAUCUUGGAGAAGUCUAUAUCAACCUACUCUGCAUCUGACAAAACGAAAAAGAAAAUCAUUCAAAGCAUCUCUGAUGCAAUGAUUUCAACAUCAAUGAUUGCAGAGAUUUUUUUUUUUUUUUAGUUACUUGACCUGUAAGCAAAACAUAACAUGUCAAACUGUAGGUGAAAGAAGGGCAUAGUUUUGGCUUUCCUACUAUUGCUAUCAAAACUAGGCAACUAUCAGUUCAGGACAAGAAACCAAACACACAGGGAAAUCAUGAUCAACUGCUGUGGAACAUUAAAAGCCUACAAUUCUUAAUUCAGGUGUGGCAAUGCUGAUAUCCUGGAAAUCGUCACACUAUAGUCAGCAUUGCAUAAGAUUCUCUGGUUCGUAUUCCUGCUCCUAUUUUUACCUUUAAUCCCCACCAUUAGUUCACUCUUGUGUAGUUUCAGCCCCUCUUCCGUUUUAAAAAGGAAGGAGCUACAGUACACGGUAGAUAAGGACUCCACUCAUCAGGAUCCUCUAUUUUGUCCUGCUAUGUUGACUGUAAAACUCCAAGUGGAAAAGCUGGAUGGAAGAGGCCAAAAAAAACAAUCUGUGUGCACGCAACUGGAGAACUAGCAGUAUAGCUGCAGCAUCUCUAUAAAUGAGAGAAUGUAGUUUUAGAGGCUAUGCCUCUUUUAUUAUUCCCUAAUAAAUAUAUGAGAAAUAUGGUGCAAGUGGUCAGCCUGGCAGAGCACACAUCAAGAUAGAACUUAUAAUUAAAGAGGCAAACAAAGCUGCACUUAUAUUUCCAGGCCUACAAAUCUGCACAAGCACUGAAGCAAGAGAAACAACAAUGAAGUCCAUAAACAAACCUAUUGCUAGGGAGCACGGAAGAGAAAAGAAAAGUAGAGGUUUUGCUAACUUUUAGGGGGAGAAAGGACAGAAAACAGGCAGCAUGCUCUUGCCAGGAGUUAACACAAAAACAACUGAUGUGUUGUGAUUCCACGGCUCUGUGACCGAAUAGGACUGCAAAGAGCUCCUGAACAAAAUGCUAAGCAGCAAAAUAUAAACUGGAUACUCACGUUAUGGACCCAAGAACUCACACACCAACAUGUAAUUUGCAGAUGUGAAAGUUUCCUUAACUACAGAAAGGAACGUUUGUGGCUCACAUAUUCCAGCCAACAGGAAAGGUUCGAGUUUGUACAGCAGAUAGCUCAGGCCUAACCCAAGGGAAAGGCACAUAGAUAGCAAGAACAGCUGAACUCUUAUAGAAAAAGAUCAUGAUAUGGACAAACACUUGCACAGAA